ensembl:processed_transcript
GAGCUUUUCGUCCAUGGAGAGCAGAUGGUGUUUUUGAAAGGAAGGGCAGCCAUUCCCGGGACUUUGGACUUGGCUCCGUUGCACCCCUGAACGGAACCAAGGUUGCUAGGAGAACACCUGUGCCCCCAGCACUUUGGUCCAGCAAGGGCAGGAGAGGAGAGCUGGAAACUGGUAGAGCUGUGCUACCUGCUACCUCCUGAGGCUCUCAGGGAGCAGGAGAAUCUGAACAUGAGUGGCAAGAGCUGGGUACUGAUCUCUACGACUUCGCCCCAGAGCCUGGAAGAUGAGAUUCUGGGACGGCUUCUGAAAAUUCUCUUCGUUUUGUUCGUUGACUUAAUGUCCAUUAUGUAUGUCGUCAUAACGUCCUAGCAACCUGACUUCCUUUACUCCGUGUGUAAAUUUCAAACCAAAUGCCAGCAAAUAAAGAUCUACAUUUUAAUCUGA